rnacentral:tRNA from 1 species
CUGGAUGUGGCGCAAUGGGAGCGCGCCGGCUCUGGGAGCCGGGGGUUGGGAGUUCGAGUCUCUCCAUCCAGA